UACAGGUGUGCGCGGGCCGAGACGUAGGCGCUCCACCGCGCCCUCGAACUCCUUCUGUACCUCGAGCCUCGGCUUCCCCUAGAGUUGCGGCGGCGCGGGAGGUGACGAUCGAAGGGUGGCGGCGCGGGAGGUGUCGAUCGAAGGGCGGCGGCACGAGAGAGAGAGCGGCACCAGUGGCGGCACGAGAGACAGCGGCACCAGUGGCGGCGACAGCGGGCGAAUAUAUCGUGUGGGCGGUUGCCGAGAGACGAGUUGCCGAGAAACGACCCAGGGUGUUCGGUGCGCACGUUGCCAGACUUAUUUUAACCGGCGAAGACGGCGGACCAGGGUGGAGGCCGCGAGGGACCAUUCCGGCGGGGGGACGGGAAGCAGUGGGGCGGCCGCUUGUGUGGGGGGGACGAGGUGGGACGAGGAAGAAACCUAGGCCAGCGUCCUCACGAGCUCCUCCGCGAGCUCGAACCGUACGAGCAGCCGCUGCGGCCCAGGGAUGGCGUGUACGGCCUGACGGCUGGAGAGCGGCCGCUACGCUGGAGGGUCCGCCCUGCCGGCACCGGUGACCGGUACCGGUACCUCCUCCACCUUCAAGGACAGGGGUGCCUCUUCGAGAGGUGACUAAGUUUAUAAAUAGGAAUAGGUGGUAGGCAAGUAAAUAAGUUGACCUACUGGCGUCCCUGCCCCCUUCCGUUCCACUACACCACAACCACCGGUGGCCCUCGAAGUUGGAGGGUGGAUGUACGUGUCUCGAACGCUUCCUACUCAACGUCGUCGCUCCCAUCAACCACGACCUACCUAUGACCUAUGUACAGGGGCCACUUGCUACGAUUGUUCUUCUUCAUGUACGCAUGGUAACCUAAAAGCGACAGUGUAUUCCGUUACGUCUUUCCUUCACAGUUCCAUUACGACGAUACACCAAGACUGGACGAACUCAGUAAGUCGUUCGCUCCCCAAACCUAAGGUCUAGUCUUGGUAACACAACCACCAGUACAACUACCUUGAACU
rnacentral:rRNA from 1 species